UACGGAAGGUGCGAGCGUUAAUCGGAAUUACUGGGCGUAAAGCGCACGUAGGUGGUUUUAUAAGUCGGAUGUGAAAGCCCCGGGCUUAACCUGGGAAUUGCAUCUGAUACUGUCUGACUAGAGUAUGCUAGAGGGAAGUGGAAUUCCAGGUGUAGCGGUGAAAUGCGUAGAUAUCUGGAGAAACACCAAUGGCGAAGGCAACUUCCUGGGGCAAUACUGACACUGAUGUGCGAAAGCGUGGGGAGCAAACAGG
rnacentral:rRNA from 1 species